rnacentral:rRNA from 1 species
ACGGGAGACACACGGCGGGUGCUAACGUCCGUCGUGAAGAGGGAAACAACCCAGACCGCCAGCUAAGGUCCCAAAGUCAUGGUUAAGUGGGAAACGAUGUGGGAAGGCCCAGACAGCCAGGAUGUUGGCUUAGAAGCAGCCAUCAUUUAAAGAAAGCGUAAUAGCUCACUGGUCGAGUCGGCCUGCGCGGAAGAUGUAACGGGGCUAAACCAUGCACCGAAGCUGCGGCAGCGACGCUUAUGCGUUGUUGGG